UCCAAAGUGACAAGCUAACUGUCAACAUGUUUAAGUCCUUCUUGGUGCUGUUCGUCGCUGUGCUGCUGAUUGGCGGUAGCCAUCAAGCACCGCAGUCAACAUCUUCAGGUGCCAGUAGUGGUGGUGGUGGAAAUGCAGGAGGAGGAGCUAGCGCCGGCGCAGGUUUCAGCUUUGGCGCCGGAGUAGGAGGCAACGCAGGAGCGGGCGCGGGUGCGGGUGGCUCAGGCUGACUGUAAUAACCACGGAGAAAGAGCUGUUCAGAAAAUAUCUACGUUAAUCCUACAUCCCUCGAAACACUUAAUAUUAAGCAUUCUACAGUUGGGUUGGGUGAUUUUACAAUAAAAUUUAACAAUACCUUACGCUGUUUUAUUUUAGAUCUUUUUAUCUUAUGUGGAAGCAAUAUACAGGAUGUAACAAAAAUUGUGAGGAUCAAUUUUAAGGGCCAAUUCGGAAUCGUGUACCUGAUUGUAAAUUA